rnacentral:tRNA from 1 species
GCUGGUGUGGCUCAGUGGUUGAGCGUCGGCCUAUGAACCUGGAGGUCACGGUUCAAUUCCCCGUCAAGGGCA